UUCACUCUGAACAUUUUUCUUUCCUUCAUUCUGUUUUCUUUUCUAUUUCCCUUGGUUCUCUGGCCCUCUGACAGACAAAUCAUGGUAUUAUCUUGCUAUUGAUACUAUACUGUGAAUUUGGGACUUUAGUUCUUGUUAUUUGUUAGCUCCGAAUUGUCUGACAGAGUUGUGGAGAAAUGUAAAAAUGACAAUCAUGUUAAUACCAGGUCAUGGCUCUGGAAUUGGGGUUGCAU
rnacentral:misc_RNA from 1 species